GCUCGAUAGCGUAAAAGUUAACUCAAAUUUGUAUGGAAUUGGAACGUUUGCCUACGUUUGCCGCUAGGGGCGCUGUUCCAACUGUAUACACAAAUUAAGUUAACUUUUACGCUAUCGA
rnacentral:pre_miRNA from 9 species